AUUGAACGCUGGCGGCAGGCCUCACACAUGCAAGUCGAACGAGUGGCGGACGGGUGAGUAAUGUCUGGGAAACUGCCCGAUGGAGGGGGAUAACUACUGGAACCGAUAGCUAAUACCGCAUACCCUCGGAUGUGCCCAGAUGGGCUUAGCUAGUAGGUGGGGUAAAGGCGCACCUAGGCGACGAUCCCUAGCUGGUCUGAGAGGAUGACCAGCCACACUGGAACUGAGACACGGCCCAGACUCCUACGUGAGGCAGCAGUGGGGAAUUUUGGACAAUGGGGGAAACCCUGAUCCAGCCAUCCCGCGUGUGCGAUGAAGGCCUUCGGGUUGUAAAGCACUUUUGGCAGGAAAGCGGUACCUGCAGAAUAAGCACCGGCUAACUACGUGCCAGCAGCCGCGGUAAUAC
rnacentral:rRNA from 1 species